rnacentral:lncRNA from 1 species
GAUCUUUGCUCGUCUAGUCUUAGGAUACGAUAGAAAGUGAUUGUUGGAACUAAACUUAUUUAACAGUGUCUAACACAAGCAGCAAUGAGUAUUGUUUGGUUGCUAAGCAAUCUCAAGUGCAAUGGUUUGUUUACUAUUGUCUUUUAUGUGUGUUUUCAGGUAUUUGAAGUACUUGACAAAGAAGUACCUCAAGAAGCACAAUGUGAGGGAUUGGCUUAGAGUGAUUGCAGCAAACAAGGACCGUAACCUCUAUGAGUUGAGGUACUUCAACAUUGCUGAGAACGAGGGAGAGGAGGAAGACUAAACCUCAGAAACCAGUUUGGUUUAGAACUAUACUCUAUUCCAUGUUUCUGUUUUUUGGUUUCUACUCG